AACGAACGCUGGCGGCAUGCCUAACACAUGCAAGUCGAACGAGACAUUCGGGUCUAGUGGCGCACGGGUGCGUAAGGGGAGGGAAGCUGCCCUUAGGUUCGGCCUAACUCCCCGCGAGGGGUGCUAAUACCGGACGAUGGCUAAGGACCAAAGAUUGAUCGCCUUUGGUUGGGCUUGCGUUGGAUUAGCUAGUUGGUAGGGUAAAAGCCUACCAAGGCGACGUUACAUAGCUGGUCUGAGAGGAUGAUCAGACACACUGGGACUGUGACACGGCCCAGACUCCUACGGGAGGAAGCAGUGGGGAAUAUUGGACAAUGGGCGAGAGCCUGAGCCAGCAAUGCCGUGUGGGUGAGGAAGGACUUAGGGUUGUAUAGCUCUUUUACCCGGGAUGAUAAUGACAGUACCGGGAGAAUAAGCGCCGGCUAACUCCGUG
rnacentral:rRNA from 1 species